rnacentral:lncRNA from 1 species
ACACUUCCUGGUCCUCUCUGGCUGCGUCUGAGGGCCUUAGCUCUGGCCAGGGGCGCUGCAACGGGCUCAGCCUUCUAGGGGUGGCGGGUGAAGGCCUACACCUGCCCCAGGACGGCCAGGUCCACCAGCACCUGCAACAGACGGAGAACUGAAGGAGCAUCUUGAAGCUGUGGCUGUCUUGAAGGUGUCGCCGCUUGUCCUCACGAGCACCAUUUUGAUUCUCGUGCCCUGUGUGCAUGGGUGGCCAGCGUUGCUGGUAGGGCUCCUGCACGCUCAGAGUGGCCUUGGCCAGGAAGUCCAGGGUUUCCGCAGGCAGAGUGUAUGAACAAGAUGCCACAGACAUGUGAGAAAUGGAACUUUUGACAAGAUCUGUGAAAAGAAUGGUAUUUUAUUGUAUUAGGAUUCUCCAGAGGGACAGAACUGAUCGGAUAUAUGUGUAUAUGAAAAGGAGUUUAUUAGGGAGAAUUGGCUCACAUGAUCAUAAGGCAAAGUCCCACAAUAGGCCAUCUGCAAGCUGAGGAAGGAAGAAACCAGUGGUGGCUCAGUCCCAGUCCAAAAGCCUCAAAAGUAGGGAAGCCGACAAUGCAGCCUUCAGUCUGGCCAAAGGCCCAAAAGCCACUGGCAAACCGCUGGUAUAAAUCCAUGUGUUCAAAGGCAGAAGAACCUGGAGUCUGAUGUCCAAGGGUAGAAGGAAUGGAAAGAAGCAUCCAGCAUGUGAAAAAGGAGAAAGCCAGAAGACUCAGCGAGUGAGAUUAUCCCACCUUCUUCCAUCUGCUGUGUUCUGGCCACACUGGCAGACCACUGGAUGGUGUCCACCCACAUGAGGAUGGGUCUUCCUCUUCCAGUCCACUGACUCAAAUGUCAGUCUCCUCUGGCAACACCCUCACAGACCCACCCAGAAACAAUACUUUACCAGCUGUAUAAGCAUCCUUCAAUCCAAUCAAGUUGACACCUGUUAUUAACCAUCACAUUUAUAUAAUGUGUAUAUAACACAUUUAUAUAACAUAAACUGAUUUCCAUUUAUGAAGCAUAUUACGUGCUUACUACAAAAACAUAAAAAAGAAGAGAAUGUAUAAUUGAAUUCCUAUAAAGGGCAUAGAGGUACCGAAAGAAA